GGGAUGGUUCGGACUGUCGCUGCAUUGCAGAGGAAAGUCCGGGCAACACUGAGCCACCAUACUUCCUAACGGGAAGGCGGCCGCAAGGCCGACAGACAGUGCCGCAGAAAAUAACCGCCGGUUUCCGGUAAGGGUGAAAACGUGAGGUAAGAGCUCACGCGGGGUGCGGUGACGUUACCCCGGGGUAAACCUUAUGGGUUGAAAGAUCAAAUAUACCGUAUGUCAAGGCGGGCUCGGCCGAUGACGGGGGGUAGAUCGAUAGAGCGGUCCGGCGACGGGCCGCCGAGAUAAAUGACAGUCGCCUUGUAAGGAGGUACAGAACCCGGCUUAUAGAACCAUUCCUUUU
rnacentral:RNase_P_RNA from 1 species